GGCUGCACCCCGAGCACAUGGAAAUUCCCAGGCCAGGGACUGAAUCCAAGCCUCAGCUGCAACCUAUGCCGCAGCUGUGGAAAUGCUGAAUUCUUUGACCCACUGCACCAGGCCAGGGAUAGAACCCGAACCUCCAGAGCAACCCGAGCUGCUGCAGUCGGAUUCUUAAACCACCAUAGCGGGAAAUCCUUAUUGCAUCUUAUUACAAAAAUACUGUCUGCGACAACACUGGAGAGGAAAAGCCCUAAUCCUUCUCCAAAGACAAUAGAAGAAGCACUGCCGUAGGCCAUUAUCUUUUCUAAAUCUGGCUUUCCUGGCAUCCCUCCCACUCCAUUCUUCUUGAAAGUUUGCAUGUUGCCGUCAUCUCUCCCAUCCUCAAAGAUCUGCCCUUUCCUGAUGAACUCCUGUGCCCCUAAUGGAUCUCAGCAGAGAGGCUCCCCUUCUAGUAAGUCUCUCCUCCGCUGCUGUAGAGCCCUGUGCUGCCCUUAUAAGCCACACAACGGUACAUAUCAGACUCCACUGUGACUGCAAAGCGUCACUGUUUCCCCAGCCCCAGCCUAGUUCCCAGGGAGCACUCGACCUUUGUGGUAUGAAGGAACUUCACUCCAGGCCACCUUGGGGGCACACACUUCAGCAGGUCAGAAGGCCUUUUCUGUCCACUCAUUCCCUCCUUUCUCCUUGGUUCUCCCUAACUCUUGCAGUAGGCAUCCUGAUAGUCCAAUUUAACUGUGAGUUACAAAGUGGUACAAUCCGUUCUAUGGCCCAUGUUCAGGUCAGAAAACCCCAGGUGCAAACCAUCCUAUGUAUUAUAUGAGUUCCCUUUUGGGUGAAGAGGAAGGGACAGUAGCGGAGUUUCGUCCAGAGAGCUCAUCCCCAUGGUCUGAGCGCACCCUGCGAUUCCUCUGUGGAGGAAAGUGCCUCCCUCUGAUUUCAGCACAGAUGGGCAGCUUGGAUUUAAGUCCUAGCCAAGGAGAGUGUUACCCACCAAGGGGAAAGCCACAGCUUUCUCUGUCCUGUGCCUCAGUGGCUUGUAGGGUGAAUGAACGGCAGCCAGGGUGACCCCUGGGGUAAGCUGAAGGUGGGACUAAUUAGUGAUCCUGUAGCACACUGCAAAUAGAAAUGUCAAGUGUUACUAUUAAUAGUCAUGUUUCCUCUGCUCUGGUUUCCAAGAUCCCUUAUGCUUUCAUUCCAGAGCCUCUAGAAAGUAAUGAAAAAAUGUGAUUUGGAGGGAAAAGAGAGCUAUAACUGUAGGGUACCUCAGUAUGACUGGAAAAAUAAAAUGUAGAUGAAUAUGCUGCCCUUCCAGAGUGACUCAAAAGACUGAAAUUCUAAGAAAAAUGUUAACUGCUUUAAUACAUAAACAUGUAAAACUCUUGCAAAAAAAAAAAAAAAAAGAGCCAGAAACAAUUAAAGGACAAGUGAAAAACUGGGCAAAAUAUGUUUUACAUAGACAGUACUUAAAAGAGGAGGAUCCUUAAUAUGUAAAGUGCUUUUACAAUCAAUAAGAAAGCAAAGAAUACCCAAAUAGAAAAACUGGCAAAAGGCAUAAGUAGGUAAUCCACAAAGGAAGAAAUGCAAAUUGACAAUAUAUGUAGAGUGAAGACGUGCUGUUUUAUUUGGCAUCUCGUUGACUACCAGUGAGCCUGAAUGAUAGAAUGUAAUUUUUCAUUUAUCAGAUUAGCAAAGAUUAAACAUAUAGCUCAUCCUCAGGCCAAGUGAUGGGGAAUUGGUAUUUGCAAUUGCCACUAAUGGGAGUAUAAACAGGCACAGCAUUUCUGGAGAGCAAUUUGGCAAUGAAUAACAAAAGCCUUGUCCGUUGACUCACAGAUUCCACCUCUAGAGAUGCAUCCUAAGGAAUAAGCAAACAAGUACACAAAGAUGUGUACGGUAAGAUUGAUCAUCUCAGUGAGCUUUAGAGUAGCAAAGCUGGAAGCUAUCUAAAUGUGUAUCAAUAGCUGAUUGGUUAAGCAUACAGUUGAAGACGAUGUGGUCACUUUAAAAAGAUCAAUAGCUUCUAUUAAUAUGGAAAGCUGUUGACAUGUGGAUGUCACUAAAGGAAACAAAGAAAGUUGGAAAUUGGAGGAACUGGAGGUGGAAAAUGAUUUGGUUUUUGAGCAUUUUUUUAAAAGUGUGUGCAGGUAGAAAAUCAUCUGGGUAAAAGUGCUCUAAAAUCAUACUUUCUGAGAGAUGAGAUUACAGACGAUUUUUACUUGCUUAUUUCAUAGUUUUCCAUAAUUUAUUGACUUUUCACAAUGAAAAUUUAUAGUUAUCGCCACUGAAAAUUAUGUUUUAGGGAGUACUUGGUCUGGUUAUUCUGGCUACUUUAUGGAGGUGGAAGAAGCAACAGAUAAAGACCUAAGUCCAUAAAUUAAAAAUAAGUAAAAUUUUUAAUCAGUGGUAAAUUCGAUUGUUCCUCUCUGGAAUUAUUAUUUCAUUACUCAUUUUGGAAUGCACUCACUUUAUUCAUGGAAACUUCCCUACCUCUAGGAGCCCCAUCUUUUCUCUUGAAAAUAUCCCAGGACAUUCCAUUAGAUUAGCUGCUUCUGAUAUCAUUAUUGGGUAUACAACUUGUAUUUUUAAUUUAUAAAAUCUCUAAUAAAAAAUAAUUGCCAAUUAACUCUGCUAAAAGGCAUCCUUCCCCAGGGGCAUAUAUUAUCAUCUCAAACCUCUGUGUGAAGCUGUGCAAAGAGGUCUCACUGGGCCCAAUUCCACUACAAUCAGUGUUCCCAGGUGUGCAAGGCACCCUUUGCCUUUGCUGGGAGCCAGCAGCUCUAAGUGAUCUUUCCAUGUAUCAACUUCUCGUUUGAUUCUUAAAGGACCAAAUCAGGGCCUGUCCCCAUGUUUAGAAAUGUAACCUGGGAUACUAAACUGUCUUCUGUUGAUAAGUCUUAAUGUCGUCUUAGUAUUAGGACAGGAAUAUGAAGGGUUUUGAACCAUAUGAAACUUCUUCUACUCAACUCUUUUGACCUAUAGAAAUGGCACUUUUGUGUGAUGUAACCUUACAUAUUCUUCUUCUACUGGCAACAUCUGGACAGUUUUAUACUACUGGAAAAUUAAAUAGAUACUAAUAUUACAAUGUUGUUGCCUUUGUAGAGCAAUAGAAAUCUCUUUUCAGGGAAGCCAAGAAAUGACCAUUUUAAUGAAAAAACAAUUCAAUCAAAAAAAGACCUAAACAGACAUUUCUCCAAAGAAGACAUAUAAAUAGCCAAUAGGCACAUGAAAAGAUGCUCAACACCACUAAUUAUUAGAGAAAUGCAAACCAAAACUAUAAUGAGGUAUCACCUCACACUGGUCAGGAUGGGCAUCAUUAAAAAAGUCUACAAAUAAUAAAUGUUGGAGAAGGUGUGGAAAAAAGGGAACCCUCCUACACUGUUGGUGGGAAUGUUAAAUUGGUACAGCCACCAGCAACCAUGGAGAAUAGUAUGGACAUUCCUUAAAAAACUAAAAAUAGAGUUACCAUGUGAUCCAGCAGUCCCAUUCCUGGGCAUACAUCUGGAGAACAACUCUAAUCUGAAAAGAUACAUGUACCUCUAUGUUCAUAGCAGCACUAUUCACAAUAGCCGAGACAUGGAAACAACCUAAGUGUCCACUGACAGAUGAAUGAAUAAAGAAAAUGUGCUACACACACAGAGAGAGAGAGACACACACACAAUGGAAUACUACUCAGCCAUAAAAAAGAAUUUGCAGCAACAUGAAUGGACCUAGAAAUUCUCAUACUGAGGGAAUUAAGUCAAAGACAAUACAGAUAACAAAACAGAAACAGACUCACAGUCAUAGAAAACGAACUUAUGGUUACCAAAGGGGAAAGGGAAUGGGGGAGGGAUAAAUUAGGAGUUUGGGAUUAGCAGAUACAAGCCACUAUAUAUAAAAUAUAAAAUAAACAAUAUGGAUUUACUAUAUAACACAAGUAACUAUAUUUGAUAUCCUAUAACAAAACAUAGUGGAAAAUAAUACAAAAAAGUGUAUAUAUAUUAUAUAUAUAUAUAUAAUAUGUACACACACACACAUAUAUAUAGGAAUCACUUUGCUAUAUACCAGAAACCAACACAACACUUCAAAUCAACUAUCUUUCAAUUUUUUAACAUGUGACCAUUUUAAGUGGAUUUCCCUAUGACCAAAAAGUACCUAUGUGUGUAUGCAUAUAUGCGUAUCCUUAGAAACUAAAUAAAAAAUAUCCCAUAUAUUUAAAAAACAAUGGCCUUAAUCUAACUUUCUCCUGUGCCCCAUCUAACACUCGCUUCGCUGAAGUUGCUUUUUGAGUCUGUUUCUUUUUUCAGAACUUUUAUCUUAAAAAAAGGAAGAAGAAAAUCUUCCCAGGUGAUGUCACUACAUUGCUUUUCACUUUUCACCUUUGGGCUCCACUCCUCCCCCUGAGAGAUCAUUCCGAUCUUUGACAGCUGCCCGGUGAUGUUAAGCACCUUGCCCAAGGUUACACAGUUAAUUAGGGCAGAGCUGGGACUAGAACCCUAGGCUUUUGCACUUUUCCGCCCUGCGGAGAGAGUCAGGCCUGUUAUCCACAGCUCCCCUCAUGAAGGAGGAUCGGCUCAGUUAAACAGGCCAGGAACCAACAGCCUGGAAGGUCUGAGAGAAAAGAUCAUCCAUUGACAAAUGAGCGUGAUCAUUAUUAAUGUUAUUAUUCAUAUGCUAUGUCUGCGGCAGAAAACAAAGGUUUAUUUAAAAUGCACAUAAUAAUUUGAGUUUGCUCCAACAUUUAUUUUCUGUCUAAAUUAUUUUUUAACUGAUAUGAAUGCAAAGACUUCUGAAGACAAAAAGCAAGGCUUUUAAAAAAAUCCAUAACCUUAAAUUAAGACCACAUUUAUUCACACUGCUGCUCGCAGCCUAGAACUUUCUCCCUGUUAACCCUUCGGUGACACUAGCAGGUCACAUUUCUACCUCUUCUUGGCCCAAUUUUUAUUUUUGCUGCUAGCAACUGCUUUGGAAGACCAAAGUAUAAUGCAUUUCACAGUAAGAAUCCUAAUGGGAUUUUUAGUAAACGGGCCCUACCAGCCCACUUCCCCAGUGAAAACAUGCCUCUAAUUGAUCUCUAUGUAGAAACAGCAGCUGGUGAUCAGAACCACUGUGCUCUGGUGGGUAAUUAUUUUAUCAGGACAAGCACUUCCGUCAUGAUAAGAGAGAAACAGCAGGUCCCAGGGAGAGACACACAGAGAGGACCAAACAGACAGACAGACAGAGAUAAGACCCAGCAAAACCCUGCCUACAGAACCCACAGCCAUGCAACCUUAAAUGGAAAGUUUCUGUUCACCCAUGAUGGACUGGAGCCAGGUGGAGCCAGGGAGGGGCCUGGGAGGCCACUGUGACUGUGGAGGGUCAGAAGAGGCCAGCUCCCCGCAGCACCUGCGCUGGCCCAGAGCUCUGUUAGGGGGCGCUGUGGGGCCACAAGUGCCAAUUCCCCCACCUUCCCGCGUCAGCAGGCCUGUUGGGGUUUAACCCCCCCCCCCCCGCCCCCGUAGCUCUUUUGGCAAAGAGUAGGUGUGUCCUGGCCAGGUUCCAGUUUGGGUAAUUACAGCCUGUCAACCUAAAUUCCCCCCAGGAUUGCAGUUAAAUAUGGUACCCGUCUUUACAAUUAAAUUUUCGCUCUAAUAGGACACUCGAUUGUCAUGUUACGUGACAGUUAAAUAGCUGCUGCAUCGUACCCCAGAGGUAGCUGCACUUUUGUAGUGACUACAAAGAUUUCUCUGGGUGUAAUAAAUGACCUGUAUGGACAGAACUGGGGGGCUCUUUCUGCUAAAUAAGAGUUGGUAACCAUAGGAUUUUGCUCAUUAUUCGAAAUUUUUCUCCAACUCUUUCGGGGAAAAACUAUGGGGAACACUUGGUCCUCCAAUAUCAUUUCCAACUCUUUUCCUGGAAAUAAAAAUCAGGAGACCACGUUGCUGCAGGACAGGGGAGGCCUCCAACUACCUUUCCAGCCCCAGUUCCCCUGCAUUUCUUUGUCUCAACAUCACAGCAUC
rnacentral:lncRNA from 1 species